UUUUGUUUCUAUUUUUUAUUUUAAAUUUUUGUAAAAUGUUUUAGUUUAUUUUUGUUUUGRGGAAAUACUUAAAAUUUGUUUUAUUGAACUGGAUUAGUACCCCGGUAAYCAAAAUUAAUUAAUUCGGGAGUAAAGUUUUGUUUAAACCGAAAAAAUAUUGACUGACUUUAGAUUUCUUUUUGGAACCUGUGUAUGGAGAGCCCCCCCUUUAAGUUAAAUUUUUUUUGCUCAUGUAUGAUUGUUUAGUUUUUAUGUUAUUUUGUAAUGCUUUUUUUUUUAAUUUAAAACAGAUAAAUACUUGGCUAAUGGGUUUAUGAUCAUGUGUUACUAUUAAUAAUUUUUUUUGGAUAGUUUUUUAUUUUUUAUUUGAAAUUGGAAAAAAAAGUAAUUAUUUUUUUAUGUAUUAG
rnacentral:rRNA from 1 species